UACGUAGGGUGCGAGCGUUGUCCGGAAUUAUUGGGCGUAAAGGGCUCGUAGGCGGUCUGUUGCGUCGGGAGUGAAAACUCAGGGCUUAACCCUGAGCCUGCUUCCGAUACGGGCAGACUAGAGGUAUGCAGGGGAGAACGGAAUUCCUGGUGUAGUGGUGAAAUGCGCAGAUAUCAGGAGGAACACCGGUGGCGAAGGCGGCAUCCUGGACCGGCAUUGACGCUGAGGCGCGAAAGCUAGGGGAGCAAACGGG
rnacentral:rRNA from 1 species